CAUUAGAUUUUUUCAAUGCAUGCAUAGUUUGUUGUAGGUACGUAAAAAAUUGUGUCAGCUUUCAUGAUGCGUAAUUGUGUUUCAGAUUUUUUAAAAUUGUACAGUUCAAUUUUAUUUUCAAUAAGCCGAUGAGGUAGAUAUACCUAAUUCUGUUUUAUCAGUGUGAUCUUUUCCUCUGAGAAAAUUUGAGAAGACAGUUCAUUUAUUAAAUUCAUCACGUCAGAACAAAUCGAAGCUGGAAUGCAGUCUAUCAAAAAUUUCAGAUUCUCUGAGAGAUGCAACCCCGGAACAAUUUUACUUUCUUUACUUUUCCUGUACUUGAGUUUGACUGUCCAAAAUAUUGACUGUAAGGAUAUUGCGCGUCACGAAGAUAAUGAAAAUGGCGUAUUAUGGAGCAUGACAGCAGACAAUUUAAUAAUUAUUUUCUUACUGAUAAUUAUCGUAGGCAUUUUGAUAUUAGCUAUUUUAAAAUUGACAAAUUUUAAAAUUGUUGUACGGAGACGUCGGGUACAGGUUUCUGGUUAAUCUGAAUAAUUAUAAUUUUUGAGUGAA